rnacentral:rRNA from 1 species
ACCAGACUCCUACGGGAGGCAGCAGUGAGGAAUAUUGGUCAAUGGUCGGGAGACUGAACCAGCCAAGCCGCGUGAGGGAUGAAGGUACAGAGUAUCGUAAACCUCUUUUGUCAGGGAACAAAGGCGGGGACGCGUCCCCGGAUGAGUGUACCUGAAGAAAAAGCAUCGGCUAACUCCGUGCCAGCAGCCGCGGUAAUACGGAGGAUCCGAGCGUUAUCCGGAUUUAUUGGGUUUAAAGGGAGCGUAGGUGGAUUGUUAAGUCAGUUGUGAAAGUUUGCGGCUCAACCGUAAAAUUGCAGUUGAAACUGGCAGUCUUGAGUACAGUAGAGGUGGGCGGAAUUCGUGGUGUAGCGGUGAAAUGCGUAGAUAUUAGGAGGAACACCAGUGGCGAAGGCGGCUUACUGGACUGUAACUGACACUGAGGCACGAAAGCGUGGGGAGCAAACAGGAUUA